rnacentral:rRNA from 1 species
AUUGAACGCUGGCGGCAUGCCUUACACAUGCAAGUCGAACGGCAGCACGGGGGCAACCCUGGUGGCGAGUGGCGAACGGGUGAGUAAAGCAUCGGAACGUGCCCGGUAGUGGGGGAUAGCCCGGCGAAAGCCGGAUUAAUACCGCAUACGACCUGAGGGUGAAAGCGGGGGACCGCAAGGCCUCGCGCUAUCGGAGCGGCCGAUGUCAGAUUAGGUAGUUGGUGGGGUAAAGGCCUACCAAGCCUGCGAUCUGUAGCUGGUCUGAGAGGACGACCAGCCACACUGGGACUGAGACACGGCCCAGACUCCUACGGG